rnacentral:lncRNA from 1 species
CCGUCGGCUAAUCUUCCUUCUGCCCAGUUACCUACGCUACCUCGGGUGUCUCAACCUCGCCCAUGGCAGCUCCUUCAAUUGAUGAUUCUCUUACUGUUCUCUCUCACUUAUCCAUUCCAGAGUCUGCUGACUGUGAAGGUAACUAGGGAAAAUCUUUAGUGCUUUCUGACCAACAAGAUACAGGUUGGAUUAUCGAUUCUACUACUACUGAUCAUAUGACCUAUGAUAGAUCAUUUUUUCAUUCUAUGACUGCUCCUACCAAAACAAGUGUGGUUACUGCCAACUGUGAAUCUAACUCAGUCACUGCAGCUGGUUCCAU